CCAAUAGCGUAUAUUAAAGUUGUUGCAGUUAAAAAGCUCGUAGUUGAAUUUCGGAAUCUGUCCGUUGGUCGGGCUUAACUGUCCGUACUGAUGUGAUGGGUUCUUACCUUCUGAAUAACCAUCAUGCCAUUAAUUUGGCGUGUUGGGGAAGCAGGACUAUUACCUUGAAAAAAUUAGAGUGCUCAAAGCAGGCUAGCGCCUGAAUACAUUAGCAUGGAAUAAUAAAAUAGGACGGCAUGGUUCUAUUUUGUUGGUUUCUAGGAUCACCGUAAUGAUUAAUAGGGAUAGUUGGGGGCAUUAGUAUUCAAUUGUCAGAGGUGAAAUUCUUGGAUUUAUUGAAGACUAACUUCUGCGAAAGCAUUUGCCAAGGAUGUUUUCAUUAAUCAAGAACGAAAGCUAGGGGAUCGAAGACGAUCAGAUACCGUCGUAGUCUUAACCAUAAACUAUGCCGACUAGGGAUCGGACGAUGUUAAUUUUAUAAUGACUCGUUCGGCGCCUUACG
rnacentral:rRNA from 1 species